GCACUAUAUAGUCGACUGCAGAGCAAUGAGACGGCUUCUAUCCGCUUUGCGCAGCACUGGUGACACCGUAUGUACACCGUCUAUGCCGUAGUUUUCCUUCUUCGUUCCUUGUCUUGUCUUUCCGUCUCUCUACCCAACAAAGCUCUCAGUUUUCGCCCAGGGAGAGCGCUCCGGCACUCAGCAUCCAGUGAACAUCACGACGCCCGCAAAACUUUUUACAAGGCGUGAAGUGAAUGUUUGACAUUUUUCCUGACUUAUUUUUUUUUUCUUCUGGCGCCUUUACUUCUCGUCGUCUCGUCCCGACCGGUUCGUCUUCCGUUGCUAGCAGUGACAAAUGGCUUUAUACCUUUCCAUUUCCUAUGCACUCUACAGUGAUUGGGAAUGAUAGGACCACCAGUUUCUCCUACUUCGAUCGCUCUCGUCAAAAUCACUGGUGACUCGGCUUGACGCGGAAAAUUGAAUAUCGUCUCGGGGCGCCAGCCCUAUAAAUAUAUAGUGAGUGAUCAAUUAUGGUGAAAUACAUUUUCCCUACUGUGUUCUAUAUAUAGUGGAGCUGAGCGGAAAGGCUGCUGCUGGUUGGGCUUGGACGGGAAAAUGAUUGCCGCCACGCCAGAAGGAUCGCACGACUCGACGGAACAAUGGAAAACAACGGACAUGAUUUCGAGGCAGAUCCAUUCCUUGUAUCUCGGUAACGCAACUGAAAUCGCUAGUUACGUGCUCAACCAGUAUCACGCCAAUAACGAGCAGCAGCAGCAACAGCACAGUGAUGCAGCAGCAGCAGGCGGCUACGUGCAUUACGCAGACGGAGCUCCGGGAUUUUCCACAUCAGUCAGCAGCUUGAUGCGACCGUCUUCCGGCGGAUGGCUAGCAGGAGGAGAUUCCAAUCCGGAAGAAGAUUUAUUAUUCGUGACGGCUGCUGGAUUCAACGAGAGUUUCGGCAGCGCCAUGGCCGGCAAUUCGAGCGCCGUUGAUCCCGGAAACUCGACGUCGUUUCGCGAUGACAGCUUUUCAUCGCCGUACUUGAUGCCAUGGCCGCAGCGAACUUCUUGGAUCGCCGUAUUCGCCGUUUUGGUGAUUGUCGCUGCCGUGGGCAACUCCCUCGUUGCCUGGAUCGUCUUCGCCCAUAAGCGGAUGAAAACCGUAACGAACUACUUUCUGGUGAACCUGAGUCUUGCCGAUUUGACAAUGUCAGUCUUCAAUUGCGUCUUUAAUUUCACCUUCAUGCUCAACAAUCACUGGCCAUUCGGUGGUUUCUACUGCACGGUCAACAACUUCGUGGCAAACGUUUCAGUGGCAGCCAGUGUCUUCACGUUGGUGGCCAUCUCCUUCGAUCGUUACAUCGCCAUUGUCUAUCCACUGCGACCGAGGAUGAGUAAAAGCACAGCCCGGAUCGCCAUCAGUCUCAUUUGGUUGGCCAGCUGCAUCCUGGCCGUCCCUUGCCUUCUCUACUCUCAGACGCUUUCGCACAGUUACCGGGGCGGUGAAGUACGAGUCGUAUGCAUCAUCGUAUGGCCGGACGGCGUCCCUUCCGUUUCCCAGCAGGAUUUCAUAUACAAUAUUGUUUUCACGGUGUCGACCUACCUGAUCCCGGUGAUUGUGAUGGGCGCUUGCUACUCGCGAAUGGGCUACGUUUUGUGGCGGGGUAAAAGCAUCGGUGAGCAGAACCAACGUCAAGCAGAGUCCAUCCAAUCCAAACACAAGGUAGUGAGGAUGUUUAUGGUUAUCGUGACGCUAUUCGUCGUCUGCUGGCUGCCCUAUCACGGCUACUUCGUCUACCAGUUUAUCGACGAUCAAGUCAUCUCCUACAAAUACACACAGCACAUUUUCCUCUCCUUCUACUGGCUAGCCAUGAGCAACACCAUGAUCAACCCACUCGUCUACUAUUACAUGAACACCAGAUUUCGGGAGCACUUUAGAUCAACUUUGUGCUGCAGGAAAAGAUCACCGUUGACCAUAGCGUCAACAGCCGGAUCGGCUAUUAUAAUCACAAGGGCGGGCCAACGAUCGACUCCGAUUCUCCGUAACGAUCGAGCCGACUUUGUAACAGGUCCGCGACAGCCGCGACAAGGACUCAAUCAACGGCCGCGAGGCGCUGCCGUCAUCACUCAACAGAAUGGAAUGGACGUUAUUCCUCCGUCGCAAGAUGCCACCUACUUGGUGCCGACGACGAUGCAGCAGCACCAGCAGAAUAACCUGGAAGUCACCCACAUCAAGCCCAGCAGAGUUGUCAGUGAAGAGAAAUCGGAAGUGCUCCUGGAUUCCCAUCAGCAGCGGGUUUUGGUGUCUAGUGACGCAUCGAUAAGCAACGGCACAGCAGCCUGGAUCUCCAGCCAGGGACAUCUAGUCACAGUUUGGACACCUUCGGGGUCUGCUCCAUUAUCGACCGGUCGGGAUCAAGAUAACCACCAGCCGCAACAGAACUCGAUGAAUCUUUUCAACGCUCGGAUGCACAUUAGACGAAAUCCGACAGUUGACGGAUGCGGUGAAGCCAAAAUCAACCCAAACGUUGCCGAAACCAAAACCUAAUUAGAUGGGCUUCGGUGACGGACCCAACUGGGUGGUUAAAAUUUGUGCCUGCGACGACCCACGGACAACGUGAUGGUAAAACGUGUGCACUCUAAAUUAUUAUCACUGAACUCUACACGGAACUAAUCAGCUCUGCAUCACGCUGUUAGGCAAGCAUUAACCAAAAUGGCUGCUCAAUUUACGUGCCGUUCUCCGUUUAAUUGCCGUUUUGGUCGACGCUAUUUCUCUCCGUACUGAACGAACUCGGCCAAAAGCGGGAAGACACUGUGACGUUCAAAUAGGUAUUCAGACAACAUCCGCUACCUGCUUUCGUCGCCUUUCUUUCGGGUUACGUUGCCUGAUAGAAGAGAGAUCAACUGCCGCCGAAGAUGAAAUUUGCUUUGAUCUGUGGGUUUUUUAGGCCCACAAUGUAAUAAAAAGUGUAUGUGCGACACAGCCACCAUAAAAAUCAUCAGCGUUGCUGUGUAGUCUUUAUACUAAAUCUCAUCUAGCGUGCGCAGUACGUACACAUUCACACCAUACUGACAUCACGAAAAUAUCUUUGUUCCUUUGUGGCUCAUCUUCCUCACAGCUUUAGAUCGUGUCGUCGCUUGAAUGGAGGAGCCCAGGAGAAAGUAGAGAUGCGUCCUAUCUAGAAAAGAUUUGUUACCACACCCGGCAACGCAACAGCAGCUACCGGUAGUCACUUUUUUUGUUUGUCGGCAAAUUAAGAAACCUGACACGUCGCAUCGGCAAAGACGUCGUCUUUGAGCAAUUACUGGGAGGGAGUAUAUAUAAAGGCGCGGUUAGAAAAGAGUGCGCGUUGGGAACGAAAAUGGAAUGGGAAGCACGCCGGUUGUUAUAAGGCCAAAGCUACGGAAUAAUGAUUUGUUCCAAGGUUUUUGUAUAGCCCACGCUCCAUUAUUUUGAGACUGUUGGCCGGGCAGGUUUGUAUCGAAACUGUGAAGCCUCGAUUUCAACAAUCGUCUCGGCUCCCAUUAGGUAUUCACUUCACGAAAAAGUUCCGGGUAACUCGUGUGGGCGGACUCUGCGGACUGCAGAUGAAAGUCGUUUGCUUGAUUGCCUCUCGUUGUGUUGCGUUGUGAGACUGGGUCGAAAAUCGAACACGAAUUUUCUUAAAUUCAUUUCUUGUAAACUUGAAGACAAAAGGAAGAUAUGUUAACCAUCCAGAUUAGUUUUGAGCUUCUCAUUUGACAAUUGACAUAUUAAUGCACAAGUCAAAUAAUGACCGACUUCAAAAAGAACUUCUCGUCAUCAGUUGUUCUAGUACCCCGAAAAGGCACGACCAUAACCCCGCAAAUCUACAUGCGUUAACGAAGAUGAAGAAACCUAUUAUCUUUGUUGCGGGGUUGUUGUAUGUUGUAACAAUGCCAACAAUGUCGGGAAUGAGCCAUGGCUAGAUUGUUUCCUCCUCUUCAGUUUGCUGUUCCCCAAUUUCCAUUCCUCAAUCUGCUGGCUUUGAACUUAAAAUAGUUGUCCGUUUCAUGCGAAAUCGAAUUAAGCGGUUGUUUGAUGUCAGCAAAUCGGAUGUAUGUCAAAAUUGAGUAUCAUUCCAUUAGGUUCCGAACAUAAAAUGUAUUGAAAAUUGUUUUCCCCGUCAAACGUUACGUAACGCGCAAAAUACUUAAAACUUACACCAGUAAAAUAUAAAUAAACGAUACCUACAUGUAAGUUGAGCUGUACGUGUUGUCGUGCUGUUGUUCUUGCGCUACGAAUGAGAAUGAAAAAAAGAAAUUAUAUAAUAUACUACAUGAAAAGCCUAUAUACUUAUUAUUACAUGUGAACACUGAGCAAUGAAUAAAGAUACUGUACAUAUA
rnacentral:misc_RNA from 1 species